CUUGGAAGUCAAUGACUGUGUC
rnacentral:miRNA from 1 species